rnacentral:rRNA from 1 species
CUGCUCCAUCCUAAGUCCAACACUGAGUACGGUUGUAUGGACAUGGCCCAAGGAGGGUGAAAGGCCCGUGGGGGUGGAGACCAGUGAUGUCAGUACCUCUCUGAGUAGACCCUGGAGUCGGGUUGUUUGUGAAUGCAGCCCAAAGUGGGUGGUAAACUCCAUCCAAGGCUAAAUACUGGCACGAGUCCGAUAGAGAACAAGUACCGUGAGGGAAAGUUGAAAAGUACUUUGAAGAGAGAGUAAACAGUGCGUGAAACCGCUCAGAGGUAGACGGGUGGAGUUGAACUGCAAGCUCUGAGGAUUCAGCUGGUGAGCUUGGCUUGAGCUUGGGUAUACUGGUCGGCCUCCCGGGCUCGUGUGAUUGCGAGUCCUGCCAGGGACGCGUGGGUACUUACCAAGUACUGUGCGCCCGGGAUGGUUCACCGGGCCAGUUCGCCAGUGCACUUUUUCAGAGUAGUCACCACGACCGGCGCUGCUGUUUGUCUACUGUGGUCAAACCAGUCCUGUAGGGUCCUUGUAGCCCUGCUGGAUUGGGAUGGCAGGUGGCUCGUCGGCUUGUCCUUCGAGUGUUAUCAGCUGUCUUCAGUGGUACUGUGCAGUGCGUCGGAGACGGCGGCUUGUGGUGUGUGCGUGCGUGCUCAUCUUGCCUGCUGCAUCGGAUUUGGUUGUCAUGUUGCCUGUAAGAGCAGGCCUGGCAAUAACUCGGUGUGGUUUGGUAGGUGCUGGCGUCCGUUUCACCGUUACGAGGGCCAAUAGUCUGUGGUGUAGUGGUAGACUAUCCACCCGACCCGUCUUGAAACACGGACCAAGGAGAGUAACAUGUGCGCGAGUCAUUGGGUAUUACGAAACCCAAAGGCGAAGUGAAAGUAAAGGUCCGGCUUGUCCGGACUGAGGUGAGAUCCUGACGUUUCUCACGCGUGGUAUCGCCAAGCAUACGAGCGUCAGGCGCAUCACCGGCCCGUCCCAUGGCGUAGACACGUUCUUCUGAGCAGUGCACCGCCGGGGUGGAGCAUGAGCGUACACGUUGAGAC